rnacentral:rRNA from 1 species
UGUUUGAUGUUCUAACGUGGACCCGUGAUCCGGGUUGCGGACAGUGUCUGGUGGGUAGUUUGACUGGGGCGGUCUCCUCCUAAAGAGUAACGGAGGAGCACGAAGGUUGGCUAAUCCUGGUCGGACAUCAGGAGGUUAGUGCAAUGGCAUAAGCCAGCUUGACUGCGAGCGUGACGGCGCGAGCAGGUGCGAAAGCAGGUCAUAGUGAUCCGGUGGUUCUGAAUGGAAGGGCCAUCGCUCAACGGAUAAAAGGUACUCCGGGGAUAACAGGCUGAUACCGCCCAAGAGUUCAUAUCGACGGCGGUGUUUGGCACCUCGAUGUCGGCUCAUCACAUCCUGGGGCUGAAGUAGGUCCCAAGGGUAUGGCUGUUCGCCAUUUAAAGUGGUACGCGAGCUGGGUUUAGAACGUCGUGAGACAGUUCGGUCCCUAUCUGCCGUGGGCGCUGGAGAACUGAGGGGGGCUGCUCCUAGUACGAGAGGACCGGAGUGGACGCAUCACUGGUGUUCGGGUUGUCAUGCCAAUGGCACUGCCCGGUAGCUAAAUGCGGAAGAGAUAAGUGCUGAAAGCAUCUAAGCACGAAACUUGC